AUGGCCAACAAUGAAUUCUUAGACACUUUUGAGUAUGUCAUCAAGAGUGUGAAAGGGGAAAAUGAUGAUCUAAAGGGGAAGAUUAAAUACCCACACAAGGAUACUAUUCGGCCCGUUCAAGAGACAAAUCAGCUUAGGGACGGGAGGGAUAAGCUCGUCGAGGAUCAGGACAAACAGAAGGAGGAGAGGAGAUGCCUCACGGCUGAGAGGAUUGACCUGAAGAUGGACACAGAUCAUUUUAGAAAAGAAGGAGAGGGGGAUAGAAAGAAGCUUCUCCAGCUGGGCAUACUCCUUGAUGAAGAUUAG
rnacentral:rRNA from 1 species